rnacentral:rRNA from 1 species
AACCGUGCGAACGUUGUUCGGAAUCACUGGGCAUAAAGGGCGCGUAGGCGGCUUUUCAAGUCAGGGGUGAAAUCCGGCAGCUCAACUGUCGAAGUGCCCUUGAUACUGAUGAGCUCGAGGGAGGUAGGGGUGUGUGGAACUUCCGGUGGAGCGGUGAAAUGCGUUGAUAUCGGAAGGAACGCCGGUGGCGAAAGCGACGCACUGGACCUCUUCUGACGCUGAGGCGCGAAAGCCAGGGGAGCAAACGGG